UACGUAGGGUGCAAGCGUUAAUCGGAAUUACUGGGCGUAAAGCGUGCGCAGGCGGUUGUGUAAGUCUGUUGUGAAAUCCCCGGGCUCAACCUGGGAAUUGCGAUGGAGACUGCACGGCUAGAGUGUGUCAGAGGGGGGUAGAAUUCCACGUGUAGCAGUGAAAUGCGUAGAUAUGUGGAGGAACACCGAUGGCGAAGGCAGCCCCCUGGGAUAACACUGACGCUCAUGCACGAAAGCGUGGGGAGCAAACAGG
rnacentral:rRNA from 1 species